AGCUCCAAUAGCGUAUAUUAAAUUUGCUGUGGUUAAAAAGCUCGUAGUCGAACUUCGGCUGUCGCAGGCCGGUCCGCCUUUUUUGGGUGUGUACUGGACCCUGUGGCGGCUUCUCUUCCUGGUGAAUAUGUCUGCCGUUUAUUCGGUGGGCAUAGGAACCCGGACUUUUACUUUGAAUAAAUCAGAGUGUUCAAAGCAGGCAUGUUUGCCCGAAUGUUUCAGCAUGGAAUAAUAGAAUAAGACGCGUGUCUCUAUUGGUCUUUUUAGAGGCACCGUAAUGAUAAAUAGGGGCGGUCGGGGGCAUUCGUAUUCAAUUGCUAGAGGUGAAAUUCUUGGAUUUAUUGAAGACGAACUACUGCGAAAGCAUUUGCCAAGGACGCUUUCA
rnacentral:rRNA from 1 species